CCUGGCUCAGGAUGAACGCUAGCGACAGGCCUAACACAUGCAAGUCGAGGGGCAGCACAAGGAGCAAUCUGAGGUGGCGACCGGCGCACGGGUGAGUAACACGUAUGCAACCUGCCUGUAAGCGGGGAAUAACCCGUUGAAAGACGGACUAAUACCGCAUAAUACUAAAUUACCGCAUGGUAAUUUAUUUAAACAUUUAUGGCUUACAGAUGGGCAUGCGCAUGAUUAGCUAGUUGGAGAGGUAACGGCUCCCCAAGGCAACGAUCAUUAGGGGUUCUGAGAGGAAGGUCCCCCACACUGGUACUGAGACACGGACCAGACUCCUACGGGAGGCAGCAGUGAGGAAUAUUGGUCAAUGGACGAGAGUCUGAACCAGCCAAGUCGCGUGCAGGAAGAAUGUUCCCUAUGGAUUGUAAACUGCUUUUGCAGGGGAAUAAAGUGCAUCACGUGUGAUGUUUUGUAUGUACUCUGCGAAUAAGGAUCGGCUAACUCCGUGCCAGCCGCUGC
rnacentral:rRNA from 1 species